UGGUGCCAGCAGCCGCGGUAAUUCCAGCUCCAAUAGCGUAUAUUAAAGUUGUUGCGGUUAAAAAGCUCGUAGUUGGUUCUGCGUGCCGCGCUGUCGGUUCGCCGCCUGUCGGUGUAACUGGCAUGUCGCGGCAUGUCCUGUCGGUGGUGAACGGAGUCCACGACGCUACAUGGGCUUUAUAGUCGAUGUUAGCAUCGUGUGUACUUCCGUUGGCCGAUCUCUCCUACUUCGGUGCUCUUAAACGAGUGUCGAGGUAGGCCGACACGUUCACUUUGAACAAAUUAGAGUGCUUAAAGCAGGCUGAAAUAUCUGCCUGAAUAGUGGUGCAUGGAAUGAUAAAACAGGACCUCGGUUCUAUUUUGUUGGUUUUAGGAAUAUGAGGUAAUGAUCAAUGUGGACUGGCGGGGGCAUUCGUAUUGCGACGUUAGAGGUGAAAUUCUUGGAUCGUCGCAAGACGCACUAGAGCGAAAGCAUUUGCCAAGUAUGUCUUAAUUGAUCAAGAA
rnacentral:rRNA from 1 species